rnacentral:misc_RNA from 1 species
UUACUUGACUGGCAGUGAAUGUUUGACUCUGCUGCGUAUUCGAAAAGCUAUGAAUGAGGCGAAAGCUUCUUGUAAAAGUCUUAGUAGAUGUUGUGGUGGAUAGUUUGCUGGUAGGUAGAGUUCAUACCUUAUAGGCGCAAAGUUUACUUUGUGAUCUGAACCAAGGUCUCAAAUCAGGUAGGAAGACCCGCUGAACUUAA